rnacentral:rRNA from 1 species
GAUGAACGCUGGCGGCGUGCCUAAUACAUGCAAGUCGAGCGAAUGGACGAGAAGCUUGCUUCUCUGAUGUUAGCGGCGGACGGGUGAGUAACACGUGGAUAACCUACCUAUAAGACUGGGAUAAGUUCGGGAAACCUGAGCUCAUACCGGAUAAUAUUUUGAACCGCAUGGUUCAAAAGUGAAAGACGGUCUUGCUGUCACUUAUAGAUGGAUCCGCGCUGCAUUAGCUAGUUGGUAAGGUAACGGCUUACCAAGGCAACGAUGCAUAGCCGACCUGAGAGGAUGAUCAGCCACACUGGAACUGAGACACGGUCCAGACUCCUACGGGAGGCAGCAGUAGGGAAUCUUCCGCAAUGGGCGAAAGCCUGACGGAGCAACGCCGCGUGAGUGAUGAAGGUCUUCGGAUCGUAAAACUCUGUUAUUAGGGAAGAACAUAUGUAUAAGUAACUGUGCACAUCUUGACGGUACCUAAUCAGAAAGCCACGGCUAACUACGUG